rnacentral:rRNA from 1 species
AUGAUAGAAAUUUAAACCCUUUUUAAAGUAUCAAUUGGAGGGCAAGUCUGGUGCCAGCAGCCGCGGUAAUUCCAGCUCCAAUAGCGUAUAUUAAAAUUGUUGCAGUUAAAAAGCUCGUAGUUGAAGUUCUGCUAAAAGUAACCGGUCUGCUUUUAAUAAAAGUGGUAUCUUGGUGUGUAUUUAGCAAUGAUGUCCUUUGAAGUGUUUUUUACUUUAUUGUAAUAAAGCAUAUUCAGGACUUUUACUUUGAGAAAAUUAGAGUGUUUCUAGCAGGCCGACGCUUUGAAUACUGCAGCAUGGAAUAAUAAGAUAGGAUUUUAGUUCUACAUUAUUGGUUUUAAGAGCUAAAUUAAUGAUUGAUAGGGACAGUUGGGGGCAUUUGUAUUUAACUGUCAGAGGUGAAAUUCUUAGAUUUGUUAAAGACAAACUACUGCGAAAGCAUUUGCCAAAGAUGUUUUCAUUAAUCAAGAACGAAAGUUAGGGGAUCGAAGAA